rnacentral:rRNA from 1 species
GACAGAGGGUGCAAACGUUGUUCGGAAUUACUGGGCGUAAAGCGUGCGCAGGCGGUGAUGUAAGACAGAUGUGAAAUCCCCGGGCUCAACCUGGGAACUGCAUUUGUGACUGCAUCGCUGGAGUACGGCAGAGGGGGAUGGAAUUCCGCGUGUAGCAGUGAAAUGCGUAGAGAUGCGGAGGAACACCGAUGGCGAAGGCAGCCCCCUGGGCUAGCACUGACGCUCAGGCACGAAAGCGUGGGGAGCAAACAGG